UAAGCCACUUUGGGAGUCUUUGGAUG
rnacentral:piRNA from 1 species